AGCGAACGCUGGCGGCAGGCCUAACACAUGCCAGUCGAACGGAUCCUUCGGGAUUAGUGGCGGACGGGUGAGUAACACGUGGGAACGUGCCCUUUGGUUCGGAACAACUCAGGGAAACUUGAGCUAAUACCGGAUGUGCCCUUCGGGGGAAAGAUUUAUCGCCAUUGGAGCGGCCCGCGUCUGAUUAGCUAGUUGGUGAGGUAACGGCCCACCAAGGCGACGAUCAGUAGCUGGUCUGAGAGGAUGGUCAGCCACACUGGGACUGAGACACGGCCCAGACUCCUACGGGAGGCAGCAGUGGGGAAUCUUGCGCAAUGGGCGAAAGCCUGACGCAGCCAUGCCGCGUGAAUGAUGAAGGUCUUAGGAUUGUAAAAUUCUUUCAGCGGGGACGAUAAUGACGGUACCCGCAGAAGAAGCUCCGGCUAACUUCGUG
rnacentral:rRNA from 1 species